rnacentral:rRNA from 1 species
UUAUCUCUGUAGAGUCUGCAUAUCAAUAAGCGGAGGAAAAGAAACUAACUAGGAUUCCCUCAGUAACGGCGAGUGAAGCGGGAAGAGCUCAAAUUUGAAAUCUUCAAGGUUUUACCUUGACGAAUUGUAGUUUAAAGAAGUGUUUUCUGUUGGAGUUUUGGUAAAAGUUCUUUGGAAUAGGACAUCAUAGAGGGUGAGAAUCCCGUAUUUGACCAUUAUUUCCAGCUUUGUGAUACACUUUCAAAGAGUCGGAUUGUUUGGGAAUGCAGUCCAAAAUGGGUGGUAAAUUUCAUCUAAAGCUAAAUAUUGGCGAGAGACCGAUAGCGAACAAGUACCGUGAGGGAAAGAUGAAAAGAACUUUGAAGAGAGAGUUAAACAGUACGUGAAAUUGUCAAAAGGGAAGCGUUUGACACCAGUGUUGUUUCUACGAAAAUCAAUUUAUGAUGGCUUGAUGCUAAGCUUUAAGACUUUAUCCGCUUGUUGUUUAGUUUUCUUGUCUUUGUGAAUGCACUUUUCGUGGAACAAGUCAACAUCAAUUUCUUUUGCUGUAAAAGGGUAAGAGGAAGGUGGCUUCGGCUUCGGUUGAAGUGUUUAUAGCCUUUUAUCUCUGCAGUCGGAGAGAUUGAGGUCUGCAGCGUAGACUCUUCGGGGUUAGAUACGUCGGUGCUAAGCUAUAGCUUUUCAUAGACAACUUGUUGACUAUGUUUAGUCAUGUGGCUUACCCGCUGGCCCUAUUUUACCUACGCUUAGGAUGUUGAGUCAUCACACAUCUCU